CCAGACUCCUACGGGAGGCAGCAGUGGGGAAUAUUGCACAAUGGGGGAAACCCUGAUGCAGCAACGCCGCGUGAGUGAGGAAGUAUUUCGGUAUGUAAAGCCCUAUCGGCAGGGAAGAAGCAAGACGGUACCUGACUAAGAAGCCCCGGCUAACUACGUGCCAGCAGCCGCGGUAAUACGUAGGGGGCGAGCGUUAUCCGGAUUCACUGGGUGUAAAGGGAGCGUAGACGGCCAAGCAAGCCAGGGGUGAAAGCCCGGGGCCCAACCCCGGGACUGCCCUUGGAACUGCUUGGCUGGAGUGCGGGAGGGGCAGGCGGAAUUCCUGGUGUAGCGGUGAAAUGCGUAGAUAUCAGGAGGAACACCGGCGGCGAAGGCGGCCUGCUGGACCGCGACUGACGUUGAGGCUCGAAAGCGUGGGUAGCAAACAGGAUUAGAUACCCUCGUAC
rnacentral:rRNA from 1 species